rnacentral:rRNA from 1 species
UACGUAGGAGGCAAGCGUUAUUCGGAUUUACUGGGCGUAAAGCGGGCGCAGGCGGUUUUUCAAGUCGGAUGUAAAAUCUCCCGGCUUAACUGGGAGGGACCAUUCGAUACUGUUGAACUAGAGGGCAGCAGAGGGAGGUGGAAUUCCCGGUGUAGUGGUGAAAUGCGUAGAUAUCGGGAGGAACACCAGUGGCGAAGGCGGCCUCCUGGGCUGUACCUGACGCUGAGGCCCAAAAGCGUGGGGAGCGAACAGGAUUAGAUACCCCCCGUA